rnacentral:sRNA from 1 species
UACAGUACGGUUGGCUCUAUGGUGGCAAC